GGGCGGGCCCGGCGUCGCCUGGGCGCCGCGAGCCCCCCGCCGGGUGGCCGGGGUGAGGAGGGGAAGAUGGCGGCGUGAGCGCAGCGGGCGGAGCGGCCGGGGCCGGCCGGGCCCCGCGGCUCGGGCCGCGCUCAGGCUCCCUGAAGAGAAUGUUGAAUGGUGAAAAAUGAUGCUCGCCAGGUCUGCUUUUCCCCAGCUUCAUAUUGAGAGUAAGACUUACCCAUCAGCGUGGGCAUGGAUGGUCAAGCUUAUGAUCAGCUGAAAUAUUUGAGUGCCUCGGAGAGAAAGUGAUGGUGACGUGGUAUAUUGCCAUUUCCAUAGUCUACUCACUACUUCUACCAUAGGAGUUGAAAAUUAUCACCAGAAGAUUAUUUCUGAACUUGAUCAACUAAAGGAUUAAGAUCCUUGCUGAAAUUUAAGAAGAUGAUAGUCCUGUUGCUUGCUCACAGGCUGUGAGAUGUGGACAUGUCUCUCCUAGCAAGCAAAAACUUGUCCUUCACUUCCAUGGAGCUGCAUGAACAAAGAUCUCUUCACUUCCUGCAUCAACCAUCUCACCCAACGCUUAAUUCACCAGAUAACUUCUCCCGCAGAAACAACCCCGCUGCGGUAUCAAAACUCAAAAGCAGAGUAACAGAAAUCAGCAUUUGUUUCCCUGAAGAAAUGUCUUCUGUGCCAGCUCUUCAUCCAGCUUUCUGCAUUCUGUUUUAAAAUGAGAAAAACUUUGAAAUCAGAUGGAAGUGCAAGCUGAUGUUCUUCACUGAUAUCUAUCUCCUUCUUCAUUUUAGGAAGGAUAAGUUCUUCACUGUGUCAUACUGGAAUUCCUGGCAUAUAAAGCGUCUGCAUGCAUUGCCAUGCCAAACUUGACAUGCAUGAAAAGUUUCAGCAGGAAAUGAGGACAUAUUUUCUGCUCUGACAUAUGGAAGAAACUUACCAAACAAUUGGAGAAGUCCCAUAACAGGUAUUUUGUAGCCCAGGAACCUGGCUUGACUUUGUAGAUAGAUGUCUUGAUGUCAACUCACAUAAAGCAGCUAAUGCAGAGGAACAAAUGCAGAAUCAUCUUGUCUAUAGUGUGUAACGGCAUCAUCCCAAUCUGUGAUCAAAAUGUAUAUUUGCAUGUGUAAACCCACAUAAGUGCUGGAUAUGAAGAGCUUUCACCAGAAGGAGAAAUUACUCUGCACCACUUCAUUUUUAGCAAAGAAAAAUGAAGCUUUAAAGACCUUCAGGGUUACAGGAUAAUGAUUAGGUUUGUGUUAUAUCAUUCCCUCCCUUUGGCUUUUUAUAAAUCCUUAGCAGCAAAAGGAACAUUCUACAGUUGAAAAGAUGGGGCAGAAUUUCUUUCUUUAUUUAAAGAAAUUAACUUCUGGUGGGAUGGAAGAGACCGGAGGUGUAAAGUUGCGGUUUGUCCGCUCAGCUUCCUUUCCACAGUUUCAGCUUUUCGUAUUGCUGAUGGAAUCAGAUACUUUUUAUUCUUCUGUGACUGAGAACUGAGAUGACCUGUAUGUUUCCAUCAUCUAGGCCUGGUAGAACGAGCUGGUAGCCGCGUAAGAGGUAUGGCUUGACAGAGAGCAAAAAUGCUUAGGCCGGGCCUUUUUCUGGUUCCUCCUAUUCCUUCUCAAUCUAAGGCGCUAUCUGUUGUUCUUAUGUUUACACAAGAUUCUUUGUCUACAUCGUUUGUGAUUAUAUAGGAUAUUUUCGAUCAUUCUGAGGUGGGAGUUUGUACUGUUCACAUGCUCCUUGCUGUGGUAUUGUAUAUGGCAAAUAAGGUUACUUGGCAAAAAGAAAUCUCCAUUUCAAGUCUGGAGCUCUUAGUGCACCUUAAUCCACACUUGUGAUUUAGAAAAUGUGAUUUACUAGCUUAAAAUAUUUUCAAAUUUGGAUCAAAUAAAGGUAUAUAGAUUCUGUUAAUAGGUUUGGGGGGAUAAUAACAUGGUUGGGGGGUGGGGUGUUUUUUUGUUUUAGUUUGUUCUAUUUUUCAUUUUAGAAAACUGCUGGAGAGAGCCAGACAGCCUGGAAAUGGCUGAAAAAGCCAACAGUUGAAAUCCUUCUUAAAUCUUGAUGAUAGAUGGCGAGGGCAGCAUUGCGAUAUUUAAAAUGUAGUGAAAUUUUGUGGGGACCACGUUCCACAGCAGAGUAAGGAUGAGUGUUGGUGUUGAUCCUGGUCUUUGGGGUAAAGUUAGAUCUGUGUAUAGACUUGCCUUGUAACAAUAAGAUUUAAUGACAGCUUUACCCAUUGUUUGUUUCCAAGAAGCAAAGAUCAGACAUGAAAGCUAAGGAGAGUAGGAAAGACACUGUGUAUCAAAAUAAUGCCAACUGUAAUGAGCAGAGAGGUGCACUAAAAUUGUAUGCAACAUUGCAAUGAGCUGUGUUUCUUUUGUUAGUUUAGAUGAGUUACGUUAAUCCUGGUGAGGCAACCACCAACUUGGCCUGAUUUCUUUUAAGAAUAUAGGAUGUCUUUGCUGAAAAUGGUCUGAAUUUUCUGGUUUUAGACGCAACUAGAAAAGCACACUUACUUUUAGGUCCUCCUUUUGUUGAAACCAAUAGGAUUUAAUGUAGAUGUCUGUAGAAGCAGGAUCCAUCUCUAAGUGAUGGAAAAUACUGUUAAUAUCAUAGGAUUAUAUGUUGUUGGAAGGUAUCUGGUAUAAGAAACAUCUGAUCCUAAAUGUGGGAAAUUCCUUUUCUUCCUUUUGCCCAUACUUGUCCUUCUGACAUUAGAGCUAGCAGUUGUUUCUUGCAUAGCUGGGUGACAAAAUACUUGGGGAACAGGAAUGUAUUUUUAUCUUCUGUGGAUAUGUACAAAAACUAAUAAUUUUUCUGACUAGAGAGUAGACAAUUCAUGCUACUGUAUUUCCACAUCCGUAAGAAUAACCCUCAACAUUUUGUAACCCUGCAUUGUAACAACAACAAAAAAACUACAGAUUUUUCCUGACUCCUAACCCAGAUAACGUAAGAACAUAAGCUUUCAAGUUUACUUUUAGAACAUAAUAUUUUUAGCAGGGCUAAAGAUCUGUGGCUUUCACAGAACUAAUACUCCAACAAUGCAUGCCCAGAAGACCCCCACAGCCGUAACUUUCCAGCCAGCUUCUUUAUAAAAGUGCUGUGUUAGGAAAUGCUGCCUCAGCCUACUUACUUUUUCUUGCUCCACUUUUUCUCUAUGUUGGUUGGAAAUCUUCCCAUGUGAAAGAUUACAAAAACAAGGGGCAUGUGCAAUAGAUCAUAUAUAUAUACAUAUAUAUAUUUUAAUACUUGUGGACAAAAUGAUGUUACAAGUUGUUUGAAAACAACAAAAUCACCAAUGUCUUCCAUUUUGAGAUGUGUAUAGUUCCAUAAGCAUUAGUGCUUUGUAGCAAACAGUAGUGCCAUGUUAGGAUCAGUGCAUGAGCCUAGUAGUAUUUUUACAAUUUCAGAGUGACAAAUUUAUUAAUAAGCAGUGAUGAUAAUGUAAUUAACAAUAGAAAGGAUACAGUAGAAAUGUCACAAACAUGGUCUAAAUAUGCAGUAUCCUCCCUGUGACAGUGGUAAUGCUAUCUUUAGAAAGUGAAUGCAUUCAUUUAAUGGGCUUCAUAGAGUCAUAGUUAACUUUGUUUUUAGUAUUUCUGUCCAACUGCAAUAGUGAACUAGUGUAUGUAAGCAUCCAGAAUUCUCAUCUGUCACCAGUGAUUCUUUUCGUUUUAGUCUUUGUUGAAGGUGUGUUCUUCUAUGAGCAGCAUUUUCCAUUUAAUUAUUACCCAUCCUAUGAUAUACUCAGAAUUAAGAAUGUGGUAAAGAGUUUGUGUUUGUUUUGUGCACAUCUCUACUACCUUAAUAUUAUUUACAAAAUCUAUUAAGAAAAAAAAUCAAAUCCAAUUACAUAAUUAUUAGAACCAGUUAAACAUUAUCCUUUUCAUCUACUAAGUUAGUUAUUGGUUGCAAAAUGCUUUCUUCCAAUUAUAAGUAGAAUACUUUUGUCCAUUAUUGCAGGAAUGGAAAACCUUUUUUUUUUUCCUGAAGUCCUGUUGAAUCUUUUAACACCUUUGGUGGAUCCUGCAUUUACACACAUCUUAAUAAGAGAGAAUAUAAUAAGAUUAAGGGCUGUUGGAAACCAACAUUGCAGACUGCAUCUGUUCAGCAGGCUAUAUCUAGCCUAUGGGUCAUAGAUUCCCCACCCCUGUAUUAUUGAGAAUUCAAUAUCCUGUGUUUUGGGUAACUUCUAGUAUUGCUUUCCAGCUCUAAUCUCAAUUUUAAUAACUUACGUCUCUCCCUCUGCUUUUUUCAGAAGGAAAGUUUAGACCAGGGAAUGUUCAAAUGAUUUAGCACGCAAUGGGCAGCUUGGACUGGUGAAAUAAGAGACUGGUAUGAUUCCUGAGAUGAGCGAUGCUCUGUGGAUGGCAUUCUCUCAUUUCCUAGGAAAAAAAAGUCUUAUUUGGUACCAGUGUUGCUCUUCACGCAUUUCUUUUACAAGAACAAAAUUCUCUGUCACUUUAGAGAGGAUACUGCAUCUUUUUUCCCUGAGACCUGCCUGUAAAUGGCCAUUAGGAGGAGGGAGGGAAUGGGUAGCUUGGUUUUGUAAUUUUAAUAGGAUGUAUCUCUAAAGUAAUUAAUCAAGUAGCAUGUUCUUUGGUGCAAAACCAGUAAUCCUUGCAGAGUUAAUGUGUGUAACAAACCCCCCACCCCGACCCUCUGCAUCUGAUAAGUUUCCAAGAAAACUGGGUGGUUGGGCCAUUUACAGCAGAGCUCUGGGGGACCUGUGCUCAGAGUUAGGUUCAAUUCUGAACAGAAGUAGCUGUACCAUUGAAUAAAGUAGUUUAGUGCUUGGGAGAAUCAAUUGAAAAAUACCUCUGAAACUGGAAUGCAAAAUAGCACAGUAUGUAGGGGGAAGAAUCCCUGAUGCAAACAAAGCCAUAAGAUGAUUUAAUAAGAAAAUAGAACUUUAGUAGCAAUAACUGUUUUGCAUGUGAUAGUAAAUAACUUGCAUUAGCAAGACUGUACAGUAGAGUAGGUGGGUAAUAACCAAAUAAGUUUGUGGCGCUCUGUGCUGCAGGGAGUUGCAUGAAAAGUCUCUUUUCCUAAGAUGGGUGAAUUCCUCUUAAUGUUCCUCUCAUUGGAGGGAAUUUGGCACUUGAAUACUUAGUUAGUGAUAUUAAAACAAAAAAAUGUUUACCUUUGUCACACAUCUGAAGCACCGUCAGUGAGUGCUGGGGGAAGUGCAGACAGUUCUUUCUGAAAGGGUAGCUGAAAUUUCCUUUUUUUACGGUCUAGCACUUGCUCAGUUUUUCUGAGGGGAAGCUAAACCCUUCCAUAUACUGGACUGUGGAAAGAACUUGGUUCUGAAGUUAGAAUGCAUUUUAUUGUAGAUGGUACUUAUUUUCUUUGUUUAAAAAGACCAACCUGAGAUGGUGACAGGUCUUUAAAAAAGAAAUUUAUUAGAUAACAUUUGACACUGAAAACAUUUCUUCAUCCCAAAGGACAAUUGUAGGAUCCUAAAAAUGUUACUCUGCAGCAAAAAUAAUUUUAGACUUGCUAAACACUCUGUUCCAAGCCAUUGAUUUCUGUUAAUGCCUGAAGUUUUGCAGAGACAAGUACGGUGAAGCCUCUGGUAACAGAAAGGGAUAUUGAUCUACAGCUGUAGCCUCUGCACCCAGCAAAGUAUCUACUAUCAAAGGGUUACAUAAAAGAGCCCCAGAAGUUCUAAAAUGUCCAUAGUUGAUGCUGUUUUCAGUGCAGAAACAUGGUCUAUAGAGACAGCAUGGCCCAGCAGAUAAUAGCGUGUUCCUAACAGAAGUAUUACAUCAGAAGUUUAGGUCUAUCUGGCUAGAUUUCUGCUAGAAAGUUGAAGUAGUUUGGAAUGUAACUUCCAGCUGAAGGGAAGCUUCUGAUGUUCUGAAAUUACAUGGGUGAAGCCUUUUGGCUCUUUGUAAGUUGAUAGUGGGACUGUUAAGGGCUGUGAGUGUUUCUACAGCGUAAUGUAAUUAAGAUAAGCACGAGCAUAUCUAAAUUAAAUGUUGGCUAAUAUGUGUAUGAAAAGCUAACUGAUCUGGAAAGUUAUAAUCAGCUUAAAUUCCAGCUAUUGCAUUAUUGAUAAACUUGGAAGCUGGCCAUAGGGAGCCUUAAUUUGAUUGUGAUCUGAUUACAUUAAAUAAAUUAUAAAUUUCUUGUAGUCUGUGGUCAGCAAGUACAUUUACGUAAUGAAUUAAAAAUGAAAACAUGGUCACGUUCAGACUUCAGAAGUAUGAACUUUGUGGCUGAAUAGAAAUUUUCAAGGCUUUAUUCAUUUAGAGAAGGGGGGAGGAGGGGAGAUUGAGACUGGUGUAACGAGGUGAGCUAUCUGCAUAUUCUUCCCAGUUCAGAUUUAAUAAUGAUCUGAAUUCCAUGGGGUACUAUGUUAGAAAUUAGUAUUCACAGCCACAAAGGAAAUCCCAUUGCCUUUCAGCUGUCAUACUAUGUCAUGCCUUUUGCUCCAAACGCCUUGAUUUCACUGCUGCUAAAACUAAGUAGCAGUGCUACGUGCUACCACGCUGCAGUGUGGGGUAUCAGAAGUGCCGUGACCACUACUGGCAUGACCCCAUCAGCAUUACUGAACCCAGGUGAUACAUGUGUGUGUACUGUUCCUUACCCAGUGGUUCUGCUGUAGAAGAUCUAGCCAGUACUUGCGCUGGGAAUUGCAGCUUGAGGAUUGCAACUUCUGCAACUGAGCAUAAUUAUCAGAUUUAGGACAAAAAAAAAAAAAGGUUUGCAGGCUACUUGAUAGUGAACGACAACAAAUUGUACCGUGCUUCAGGACAUAGACACUUUAUGCAAGGGUUACACUGACAAGAGCUGGCAGUGGUUUUGAGCAGAGAAGGAUAGAAGAGUUUUUGAUGGAUAACCAAUUUUACAAAUAAUUACUUCCCUAGGAAAGAGUCUGGUCUUCCUUCAAAACCUAAUAAUCCUGCUUGCUGUUCAGGUACAGAGCUGCAUAAAUGGCAGUUUGAGUGAGGUUCCACUGGUUUUCUUUUACUGAAUGAUCCAGCAUAUUGCCCCUAUAGCACUUUGACUGGCACGCAAAAGCCAGCAGUCGAACCAGGGUGUCUCAUUUAACAGUGCAGAACACUAACCAGGAAUUCUGCUUUCUAUUCCCUUUCAGUCUGCUCAGCACUAUCUCCUGAGUUUUAGAGAAAGUGUAGGUGUACUUGACGUAAGCAAGGAGUGUGUUUCCGUCUCUGAGCCUAUGUACCAGGUUAUAGGAUAGACAGAUUCCCUAAGGCUUUACAGCAUUUAAGGUUAAAGAUAAAAAGUAACUUACUGUUCAGUGUGUCCUGUGUAAGUCUUAUCUGCUUCUUUCCUCUUCCCCUCCAAACGGGUGUGUUUGCAGGUCAAAUAAAAGAAGACUAGUUUGUGAUGCCUGAGGCAUAAAGAAGUGCAUGGAGAAACUGAAGGAAAGUGGCACAGGCCCACAAACCAAAUCUUAGAGCUAGUAUUCUAAUUAUGCAUGAUUCAAAAUGUCUAGUGUAAUGUAGUUAUUACCAGUAAAUUGAGAUAUGCAUUUAUACAUAACGAAGCAAUAGGAAUUAAUAUACCAAUAGCUUGAACUUCCUGCUUUGAUUCUCAAACUUUGAUUCUCAAACUGUUUUUUUUUUUUUUUUUUUUAAGAGAAUGUGCUGCCUCUGUAGAGAAAGGGGCAGAAUGUAUAGAUAGGGACAGAAGCAUGGCACCAAAACUGUAAAUCAGGAACCAGGAUCAGCAGAACUCGCCUUUAUAACCUCUUGUCUGGUUCAUUUUAGUGCCCUGAGCAUGUAAAAAGCAGGGCAUGGACUAAGCAUGUUUAAGGGCGAGAUGAGGUUUCUCACCUGCUGCAGCUGUAGCAAGGAAAAGGGUGCAGAGUUUCUUUCAAGGUGCAGGGGGGGAGCAACUGGUUAAAAAAAAAAUAAAAAAUCCACAGUAACAGAAACAAUGGACUCAAAUUGAGUGUAGUAUUUGCCAGACAGUAGGUAAUAGGCUUGUGCUUGGUGAGAGAAAUUAUUUGGAGAAGACUGAAAUUAAUAAGCACAGUACAAAUAUUUCAGGUGUUGAAUAGCUUUUUAAUAGACAGUAUUUUCAGGUAACUCUCUAGCCACAUAGGCAGCUGUACUGAAGCAUACUGGUACCAGCCAGCAAUAAUGGCACCUGCAGGAAUGAACCUGAAAAUACUGGUAAUCUUGUAUAUUUUUUAAGUUCUUUGACAAAGAGAUUUUUAAAAACAAAAAAUGAGAUUUGAUCACUGAAGGUCUUUAUCUUCUGCAACACAGGUUGCAAUAUAGUCUUUUUUUUCUUUAUUUCACUUAUUAAAUAAAAGGGAAUUUGGGUGCCAUUUUUCCGUAAACUUUUACUGUGCUCUCUGUAAUAUUUUCCAAGUCUUUUAGUGGGUACUGCAGUGAAUUUCUGCUGGCAGUUUGAAAAUCACAUAGAACGCAUGGCAGUGUCUGUCACUAAUGCUUUUCCUAGUUUAAAGUAUUCAAUCACGUAGAAUACUAGCAUGUUACUGCAGAAUUCCAUACUUUUAGCUUAGCUUAAUUUUGUAGGUGGGCUUAACUUGUGCAGAACACUUCUCCGUGUACAGAGGCUCAGUCCCCUUUCUUAAGCAGAAAGAGGAAGUGUCUUGGAGGAAGAAAUUGUGUGUCAAGUUAAAUCCUGAUCAUGCUUCGUAGCCAAGCGUCCAUAAAGCACCAUGAUUUGGGUUUAGAAUGGGGGCUGUGUUUUUCUCAUGAAUGCUUUCUAGAUAUACAAGAAUUGCCAAAUGAAGAUAGGAAUAUUAUUAGAGAAUAUUUAACUAUUUUACAGUAUCAAAGUUAGGUUAAAUGAAAUCCUUUGAGCCAACUUCUUCAAGCUAAAAGGGAAUCUAUUUGUAAAAAGGGUUUAGCCCAGCAGUUACCCAUGGCCACCUAAUGCCUAGAGGAUAUUCUUUAGAACACUUCAUGUGGUUUUAAACCGUUACAUGUUUUCUUUUGUGUGGUGAGUAAGCAGUUGUAUCCGUUGUUAAUACUUAUCCCUGUCAAUAUAAAACCUGGGGAAGUAAGCUACUUUAGGACUUCAGUGAAGAUAUCCUCCUUUUGAGAAAUACAACAGCAAAGGAGAAGCAUUAAUUAUAGUUUCUUAAAAAUUAUCUUAAUACUUAAACAAGUUAGAGAAGACUUCUUAUACUGAACUUCUGAUGGCAUUGCUCACAAGGGUUAGUGGAGAUUACUGGUAUCACUACGUACUCCCAUUGCACACAUUUUACAUGGUAACAGUAAAAGAAUGUUUCCCUGCAAAUUCUAAUUUUUUUUUUCCAAAAGGCAGCUUGCUUUUAUAUCUAUGCAUCUUUGAGGAUUUCAAGAUAAGAUUUUAUUCUUUUGACGCUGUAAAGAGGAACUGUUUAAAAAUGAACUUGGAAACUCUGCACCUGUAUACAAAUUUUUUUAGCAAUAAAGCAGCACAGGCUGAGAAUGCACUAAAA